rnacentral:lncRNA from 1 species
CUUAGACUUUUGUCAUUGUGACCGCCUCCCUAGCUGCAAGUGUUAGCCCUGUAGCUGGAGUUGUUUUCUGGAGUAUGCUGUGAACAGAACAGUGUAAUAACCCAUGGCAGGACACCAGUGUGAUGAUCUCAUAUGGCCAGUAUGCUGCUUUUCCUCCAUCCUGAGUCCCCUCAGGGAGUACCUGUGGGCAGCUACAGUGGCUGAUGGCUUCAAGGCAUGAACAUCAUUUGUUUACUGAAAUGGCAGGUGACACAUACCUGAUUCAAGGUAAGUAGCCAAGGGUUGGAUUUCAGUUAGCAGGCUAAGGAAGUACUCAGUGUUUCUCAAAGCUUGUAAUCCUUUACUAGCAUUCUUGUUGUGAGCCACAUGGGAAGUCCAUUUACUAGCAUUCUUCAAAAAGAAGGGGACCCAAGUUUAGUGCUUGAAGGAACUUUGAAAUAAUCUCAUUUCGAUCUU